UCCUGCCCGUUUGCGGCACUACUACGCGCUAGUGUGCGCCGUUCUCGUGCUCGGCGUGUUUAACUAGUGUGUAUCUCCCCAGGUAUCGUGACGACGCUCCUGCCCGUUUUGCGGCACUACUACGCGCUGGUGUGCGCCGUUCUCGUGCUCGGCGUGUUAUCAGCCCUACCUCACUACUGUACGUGUAUCUCCCCAGGUAUCGUGACGACCCUCCUGCCCGUGUUGCGGCACUACUACGCGCUAGUGUGCGCCGUUCUCGUGCUCGGCGUGUUUAACUAGUGUGUAUCUCCCCAGGUAUCGUGACGACCCUGCUGCCCGUGUUGCGGCACUACUACGCGCUAGUGUGCGCCGUUCUCGUGCUCGGCGUGUUUAACUACUGUGCAUCUCCCCAGGUAUCGUGACGACCCUGCUGCCCGUUUUGCGGCACUACUACGCGCUGGUGUGCGCCGUUCUCGUGCUCGGCGUGUUUGACUAGUCUGUAUCUCCCCAGGUAUCGUGACGACCCUCCUGCCCGUGUUGCGGCACUACUACGCGCUAGUGUGCGCCGUUCUCGUGCUCGGCGUGUUUGACUAGUGUGUAUCUCCCCAGGUAUCGUGACGACCCUCCUGCCCGUGUUGCGGCACUACUACGCGCUGGUGUGCGCGGUCCUGGUACUCGGCGUGUUCGACGGCUGCUUCGUGGCGCUGAUCGGCCCCAUCGCCUUCGACCUUGUGGGGCCGGAGGACGCUUCGCAGGCCAUCGGCUUUCUGCUGGGCCUGGCUUCCGUACCGCUCACGGUGGGGCCGCCGCUGGCAGGGUGGAUCUACGACUACACAGGGUCCUACAACGCGGCGUUCUUCUACGCAGGCGCGCCGCCCAUCGUCGGCACGUGCAUCCUGUUUCUGGUGUCGCUGGGCAGGUUCUCCGCGGGGGAGGGGGGCGAGAAACAGAAUGAUGCUGCUAACGUCCCGGGUGAAGAAAAAGCUCUUGCUGCUGAUACAAAGGCGCCACCU